rnacentral:rRNA from 1 species
GGGUUGUGAGGUUAAGCGACUAAGCGUACACGGUGGAUGCCCUGGCAGUCAGAGGCGAUGAAGGACGUGCUAAUCUGCGAUAAGCGUCGGUAAGGUGAUAUGAACCGUUAUAACCGGCGAUUUCCGAAUGGGGAAACCCAGUGUGAUUCGUCACACUAUCAUUAACUGAAUCCAUAGGUUAAUGAGGCGAACCGGGGGAACUGAAACAUCUAAGUACCCCGAGGAAAAGAAAUCAACCGAGAUUCCCCCAGUAGCGGCGAGCGAACGGGGAGCAGCCCAGAGCCUGAAUCAGUGUGUGUGUUAGUGGAAGCGUCUGGAAAGGCGCGCGAUACAGGGUGACAGCCCCGUACACAAAAAUGCACAUGCUGUGAGCUCGAUGAGUAGGGCGGGACACGUGGUAUCCUGUCUGAAUAUGGGGGGACCAUCCUCCAAGGCUAAAUACUCCUGACUGACCGAUAGUGAACCAGUACCGUGAGGGAAAGGCGAAAAGAACCCCGGCGAGGGGAGUGAAAAAGAACCUGAAACCGUGUACGUACAAGCAGUGGGAGCACAGAGCAAUCUGUGUGACUGCGUACCUUUUGUAUAAUGGGUCAGCGACUUAUAUUCUGUAGCAAGGUUAACCGAAUAGGGGAGCCGAAGGGAAACCGAGUCUUAACUGGGCGUUAAGUUGCAGGGUAUAGACCCGAAACCCGGUGAUCUAGCCAUGGGCAGGUUGAAGGUUGGGUAACACUAACUGGAGGACCGAACCGACUAAUGUUGAAAAAUUAGCGGAUGACUUGUGGCUGGGGGUGAAAGGCCAAUCAAACCGGGAGAUAGCUGGUUCUCCCCGAAAGCUAUUUAGGUAGCGCCUCGUGAAUUCAUCUCCGGGGGUAGAGCACUGUUUCGGCAAGGGGGUCAUCCCGACUUACCAACCCGAUGCAAACUGCGAAUACCGGAGAAUGUUAUCACGGGAGACACACGGCGGGUGCUAACGUCCGUCGUGAAGAGGGAAACAACCCAGACCGCCAGCUAAGGUCCCAAAGUCAUGGUUAAGUGGGAAACGAUGUGGGAAGGCCCAGACAGCCAGGAUGUUGGCUUAGAAGCAGCCAUCAUUUAAAGAAAGCGUAAUAGCUCACUGGUCGAGUCGGCCUGCGCGGAAGAUGUAACGGGGCUAAACCAUGCACCGAAGCUGCGGCAGCGACGCUUAUGCGUUGUUGGGUAGGGGAGCGUUCUGUAAGCCUGUGAAGGUGUGCUGUGAGGCAUGCUGGAGGUAUCAGAAGUGCGAAUGCUGACAUAAGUAACGAUAAAGCGGGUGAAAAGCCCGCUCGCCGGAAGACCAAGGGUUCCUGUCCAACGUUAAUCGGGGCAGGGUGAGUCGACCCCUAAGGCGAGGCCGAAAGGCGUAGUCGAUGGGAAACAGGUUAAUAUUCCUGUACUUGGUGUUACUGCGAAGGGGGGACGGAGAAGGCUAUGUUGGCCGGGCGACGGUUGUCCCGGUUUAAGCGUGUAGGCUGGUUUUCCAGGCAAAUCCGGAAAAUCAAGGCUGAGGCGUGAUGACGAGGCACUACGGUGCUGAAGCAACAAAUGCCCUGCUUCCAGGAAAAGCCUCUAAGCAUCAGGUAACAUCAAAUCGUACCCCAAACCGACACAGGUGGUCAGGUAGAGAAUACCAAGGCGCUUGAGAGAACUCGGGUGAAGGAACUAGGCAAAAUGGUGCCGUAACUUCGGGAGAAGGCACGCUGAUAUGUAGGUGAAGUCCCUCGCGGAUGGAGCUGAAAUCAGUCGAAGAUACCAGCUGGCUGCAACUGUUUAUUAAAAACACAGCACUGUGCAAACACGAAAGUGGACGUAUACGGUGUGACGCCUGCCCGGUGCCGGAAGGUUAAUUGAUGGGGUCAGCGCAAGCGAAGCUCUUGAUCGAAGCCCCGGUAAACGGCGGCCGUAACUAUAACGGUCCUAAGGUAGCGAAAUUCCUUGUCGGGUAAGUUCCGACCUGCACGAAUGGCGUAAUGAUGGCCAGGCUGUCUCCACCCGAGACUCAGUGAAAUUGAACUCGCUGUGAAGAUGCAGUGUACCCGCGGCAAGACGGAAAGACCCCGUGAACCUUUACUAUAGCUUGACACUGAACAUUGAGCCUUGAUGUGUAGGAUAGGUGGGAGGCUUUGAAGUGUGGACGCCAGUCUGCAUGGAGCCGACCUUGAAAUACCACCCUUUAAUGUUUGAUGUUCUAACGUUGACCCGUAAUCCGGGUUGCGGACAGUGUCUGGUGGGUAGUUUGACUGGGGCGGUCUCCUCCUAAAGAGUAACGGAGGAGCACGAAGGUUGGCUAAUCCUGGUCGGACAUCAGGAGGUUAGUGCAAUGGCAUAAGCCAGCUUGACUGCGAGCGUGACGGCGCGAGCAGGUGCGAAAGCAGGUCAUAGUGAUCCGGUGGUUCUGAAUGGAAGGGCCAUCGCUCAACGGAUAAAAGGUACUCCGGGGAUAACAGGCUGAUACCGCCCAAGAGUUCAUAUCGACGGCGGUGUUUGGCACCUCGAUGUCGGCUCAUCACAUCCUGGGGCUGAAGUAGGUCCCAAGGGUAUGGCUGUUCGCCAUUUAAAGUGGUACGCGAGCUGGGUUUAGAACGUCGUGAGACAGUUCGGUCCCUAUCUGCCGUGGGCGCUGGAGAACUGAGGGGGGCUGCUCCUAGUACGAGAGGACCGGAGUGGACGCAUCACUGGUGUUCGGGUUGUCAUGCCAAUGGCACUGCCCGGUAGCUAAAUGCGGAAGAGAUAAGUGCUGAAAGCAUCUAAGCACGAAACUUGCCCCGAGAUGAGUUCUCCCUGACUCCUUGAGAGUCCUGAAGGAACGUUGAAGACGACGACGUUGAUAGGCCGGGUGUGUAAGCGCAGCGAUGCGUUGAGCUAACCGGUACUAAUGAACCGUGAGGCUUAACCUUACAACGCCGAAGCUGUU